rnacentral:rRNA from 1 species
AUACGUAGGGUGCAAGCGUUAUCCGGAUUUAUUGGGUGUAAAGGGUGCGUAGACGGAGUAGCAAGUUGGUUGUGAAAUCCCUCGGCUUAACUGAGGAACUGCAACCAAAACUACUACCCUUGAGUGUUGGAGAGGAAAGUGGAAUUCCUAGUGUAGCGGUGAAAUGCGUAGACAUUAGGAGGAACACCAGUGGCGAAGGCGACUUUCUGGACAAUAACUGACGUUGAGGCACGAAAGUGUGGGGAGCAAACAGGAUUAGAUACCCUGGUAGUCCACACCGUAAACGAUGGAUACUAGGUGUAGGGUGUGAUAAACAUUCUGUGCCGCCGCUAACGCAGUAAGUAUCCCACCUGGGGAGUACGGCCGCAAGGUUGAAACUCAAAGGAAUUGACGGGG